CGCUGAAAUCCUAGUUUACGGAAGCUGGUGGCGCCAAAUGCUUCACCGGCCUUUUAAUUUAGGACUUUAGGCCACUACAGGUUCGUGAAUUGUUUCACGAAGAACCUGCUCCUCCAUUCAAAAGGGAUUUCCACAAUUCUCUGCACUGCCACACUUACUUCAUCAGGUAUAAGUUGCAGUGCUUACCCACCUUCUGAGUUUCUCUGAUUUUCUUCCUAAGCUCCAUUUGUUGGUGGUGAAAAUUAGUUCUAG